rnacentral:rRNA from 1 species
CCGACGGUGAGGGAUGAAAGCUGGGGGAGCAAACCGGAUUAGAUACCCGGGUAGUCCCAGCUGUAAACGAUGCGCGUUAGGUGUGUCAGUGACCACGUGUCACUGAUGUGCCGAAGGGAAACCGUGAAACGCGCCGCCUGGGGAGUACGGUCGCAAGGCUGAAACUUAGAGGAAUUGGCGGGGGAGCACCACAACGGGUGGAGCCUGCGGUUUAAUCGGACUCAACGCCGGAAAUCUCACCGGAUAA